UCAAUCUUGCUCUCUCUCUCUAGAGCUGUCCAUCUCUCGUUUUCUCUGUGUUUCUCUCUCUUCCUCUCUAUCUAUCGUUCUCUCUGUCUCUCUCCACACUCCGGUGAAGAUGAUGUGGUCAACAUUAAUGGCGGGAGGAGUUGCUCUUCCUAUGAAUCAAAUUCCCAUCCCAAUGUUCUUCAUACAUAUGCAUCAGGAUCAGGAGCAUUCUAUCCUUUGCAACCGUCGCCUGCAGUUUGAGAUGAUGUCGACAAUGGUGGAAGUUGCUCUUCCUAUGAAUCAAAUUCCCAUUCCUAAUGAUGUUCAUACGGCAGCACCAUCAGGAUUAGGAGCAUUCUAUCCUUGGCAACCAUCGCCUGCAUCAAAUCAAAAUAUAUCCGGAAUUCAUUGUCCAGUGGCGGUGAUGAAUCAGGUUUCCUUUAUUUUAUUUUAAGCAAGCUGAGAUUAAACAAACAAACCAACAACAAAGCACGAAGGGCGUACACCAGGAAUGUGGCUCUAAAUGCACUGUGUCUGUUCGGUUCAAUUUUCCAUUUCCAGAAAACGAAACGAUUAAAUUUUGUAUGGUUGGCAGUUUUAUCAAGGCAAUUUCACUUGCUGUCAUCUAUAAUGACCGACAUUUCAUAAAAGCUACUGCACAGCGAGAUUCAAUAAAUUAUUGAAUGUCGCCACUUGAUUACAAUGUGCUGCCUCCUCCAAAUGUAACAAUGACAGCAAGUCAUUUUAUGCCGCCUCCAAGUUAUGUUCCUCCUCGGGUGGGUGAAAAUGCUCAUAAUGCUAUCUGAUCUGAUUCUGUGGUUUGUCUUAUUUUCUCGAUACACGGUCACUUACCUGAAUGGUUUAUUUUGUACCUUGUGCUCUGUGAUUGAAGAGUGAUGGGUGAAACUUUAUGAAAGGAAAGCUGAUCCAACAUGUGUAAAUAUUACAUCGUAGUAUCAAUGAUUUGUCUACAGUAUUUACUAUAACAUGAGUAAUAUUUAUGCAGUCAAUGAACAUGUUUUCACACUGAAGCCUUGAAUAUAUCAGGACUCGAUGUUAUUUUUCUGCACCUAAAUUGACAUGCUAAUGGUUCUUAUCUGGAACAGUUAUGUUUGUAUAUAUAUAUAUAUGCGCUUUUAUACUGAUUGUUACUUAUCCAAUUCUUAACAGUUUCAUAAAUUAGUUUAGUCCAACAUGAGUCCAUGUAAAUGACUAUAAAUGAGUAAGCUAUUCAUGAACAGUUUGGACACUUCAGAUUUGUUUGAUUUUUAUCAAUUCCAGUGAAGCAUGAAUCCCAAUUUGGACAGCGAGAUCUAAUUUCCAGACUAGUGAAAAUGAAUGAGUUUGAGCAACAAAGAGCUUGUCUCGUGUAUUAAUAGACAAGCAUGUUUUUUAUUUGAUCCUAUGGAUAUUGGCUAGUAAGGCCUUAUUAGGUGCAUUCUCUUGAUCUCUCUGUAGUGCAGAUUCCUUCCCCAAUCUUUGGCCUAGGUUCCCAUUUUCUCACUCGUCAAUGGACGAUAUAUGAUUACCCUUUGAAUGGAUUAACUAAAAGCCUAAGGCGUUGCAAAGGGUUUGAGACAGAGUUAUGAAAGUAUCUCUUCCAACAUAUUUUCAUUUGUUAAGAGUGCUAGAUAUUAAAAUAAAACAACGCAGUAUUUUUAUGUUUGGUUCUUUAUAAUCAUUGUGAUAUUUUCUGACCUCUUUUAGUGUGUGUGUGUGUGUUUAUUUGUGUGACUUUUGGUGCUAAUUAAUGGAUUAAGCAAAAGAUUUUAUUAAAAUAAAAAAAGAUCCCAACUCAAAAUAUAAAUAUUCAAAUACACCGUCCCUUGUUAGAUCCAUUGUUUUGGUUUGUGGGAGAAUUUGAAGUUUCUUACUCUGUUAUGAUACAGGGCCACCCCAUAUAACUGGUAAUGGGUCAAACCAGAUAUAUUGGACAUGGAUGUCAUGGAAGUAGUUCUUCCGGUUUCUAGCGAAGAGGCAGUAAAUCUGGCUUGGGAGUUGGCCUUCAAGGAGGGGCUUAUGCGUGGUUCAAAUUCCAUAAUGGUAGCAACUCAUUCAAUGCCUCCUGGUUAAAUGUGCCGCCUCAGGUGGAUGAAAAUGCUCGUAAUGCUAUCUGAUAUCCGAUUCAGUGAAUGAUUGGUGAAACCUUAUAAAAGAAAGACUGAUCAAGAUUCAAGAACUCUGUAAUAGCGAAGAAACUGAUAUUGAGCACAGGUUUUGUUCUUGUCCAAGACUGCUGAUCUGCAUUUCUAGUUCCUUUUGUAUUUUUGUUAUUGGACAAGUUGUCAGUGAACAAUUUCUUUCUUAUUUGUGCCUUUUCUCAGCAUCUGGCCUUGUAAUUUCCUCAUCACACUUGACUUUACCAUUCACAGUCCCACACUAGUUGAUUAUAUGUUCUCUGAGAAAAGUGACAACCAAGAAACAUUAUUGAAGCUGCAAUGUUCAUUCUGCUGUGGAUAAUUAGAAUCAAUUGCUAAUUAGCUCAUAUUUACUGUCAA